UGCAAGCCACGAAGAGAAACUGGAUUCAUGGAGGGAGGAAAAGGUUUGGAUGCUCCCAAGACGCCGGAUUUGACUGGAAGCUGGGAGGAUUCCUUGGAGGAUCUCCCUCCUUAAAGCUCGGGCGGCAGUGGCCGAGUUCGAACCUAAAUGCCAUGCCACCGUGGUUUCUGGGUGGUUCUCAGAAUCUUGGUCGACCUUCCGGCUAGUAGAUACAGAGUUUCUUGUCAGGAAUCUCGCUAUUUUUUUUUGAAUAUCACAGAGGUAGUUCCGGUUAGUUAUUAGAUGAUUGUUACUGCAUUAUUCAUUCUGCUGCCUCUUUAGUUGCUUGUCGGAUUCUUUCCUAGAAAAAAAUAAAUCAAUGCCAUUGUUUAUUUCAGCUCCUUUUAGUUUAUUGAGAUUAAAUAUUGGGUUGUUAUCACCAUGUCAGAAGAAUGGCAGGUGAAGGCAGUUUUUGCAUUUUGCGAAUGUAUACUCUUAUGGCUGCUGGUGUUUUUUGGGUUUUGAAAACUCUGCACACUGCAAACCAACACUUUAGAAGCCUGUUUUUUUGUAAUUGUAACAAAGUUGUUUGGGGUCAUUUCUGCCUCUUAUAUACGAAGGGAUAUAGAUACAGAAAAACAUAUAUUCACAAUUCUUCGAUGCCUCUUCAGUUUCAACUAUUAUCAUUGGCUUUCAAAAAAUAAAAGGUUUUCUUUUUCUCUUUUUGGAAUCAACCUGGUCACAGCAGCUGCAUUCUGAUGGAGGUGUAAUAGAAGUCAUAUUCUUGAGAUAGGAGAUGCUUGGACUAAUGCAUUUGCGUUGCUAUGCACAGGAGAAGCUCACUCCUUGAAAGUGGUAUAGAUCUUAUAUCAGGGAAAGUCGGAGUACCAAGAGAUCCUGGUUUUUGAGGUUCAUAUUAAUCUCAACUGCAAAUGUUUUGCUUUUUUUUUUUGAUGGAAAAUGUCUCCUUGUAGCCGCCAUGGUCCUUUUUAGCUUAUAUAGUGACUACUGACUAGGGUAUUGCUGCUUGCUUUCUCCCGCAGUUUUCUGUUUAUGGAAUAGUACUCAUGCUCGAUGGCAUUGUCCAGCUAAUGGAUAAAGAUGAAUGCACUUAGCAAGGGAUGAUUGCCCGUCUUCCUCUUUGUUCACUUCCAUCCCUGAAAACUGUAAUUUAUUUAUUUCAGCAGCUUUGCUAUAUUAAUCUCAUUUGGUAGGAUACUGCAAUUUUGUUGCUUAUUAUUCUUUUAGUCGUGAUCAUCACAUAUUUGCUUUUGGAAUCUUAUUUUCACAUAAUAUUGAACUUAGAAAUAUUUGUUCAGAUAUAAUCCAAAAUUUGCUAUUUGAUGUAUUCUAAAUGCACAGAAAUCCAUGAUUUCAUACUCAGGCCCCUAUAAUCCAGAUUAUUAGUAUUUCCUUCACCAUCAAAAGCCUGGUUAACUUUAUAAGGUUUAUAUUUUCUCUGCUAGUAAUGGUUGGAUUUCAUGCCCUUAUUAUGUGUUGCACUUUACAAUAUAAAGGAUAUACAUCUUUGCAUAACUCACAGGAGCUUCUGCUGUAGGUUUUGGUCAUAGGGGGUGGUGAGGGUGGAGUGCUUCGGGAAUUUUCUUGACAUUGUUCUGUGGAGUGCAUAGACAUAUGUGAAAUUGAUCAGCUGGUCAUUGAUGUUUGCAAGAAAUUCUUCCCAGAUUUCUCUGUUGGAUUCGAGGACCCUCGUGUUCAACUACAUGUUGGUGAUGGUAAGUUGAAUAAUUUGGUAACUUCAUAAAUUCUAUCAUCAUUUCAUGAGUUUGCUAUUAUUGUUGUUGCUGUAAUUGAUUGUUCGAAUUAUCGACAGGAACAUCUAUACAAUAUAGAAGCAUCUUCAUGUUUGCUGGGCAGCCUUGUCUUUCCUGGAAAAUACGUAGGAUCAAUUGUUUGACAUUCUUACAGCAGUUGAAUUCUUACAAAAUGCUCCUGAAGAGAUGCAUGAUACAGUUAUUGUUGAUUCAUCAGACCCAAUAGGUGAGUUGCAGGUUCUCUGUUCCAAUGAAGUUUUUGUCGUGUUUUAGUAUCUUAACUGUAAAGAGGGCACAUUAGGAUAAUGCCCUUCAAUUUUAUGCUAGAAAUAUAUAUACUUGAUAAUUUGUUCUGAGAUGCAACCACUCUUUACAAACUUCCACCUUGCAAGGUUGCUUAAGAUUAUGAUGGCCUAUCAUAAAGAAGAGUUUAAAUGCCCUGCAAUGGACACUGACGCUGCUGUUCAUGCCAUGCCAACUCUUCACAUGCACUAGCAUUGCUGCAUGCCAAGCAUUGGCACAGCCAGCACAAGGCCCUGCCUCAUGCCUGUUCGCUCACUGGCAUGAUUUGUGCCGAGCAGCGCAGAUUGACAUGGCUGGCACCUACAUCUUUGAUUAUAAAAGAGACUCUGUUCCAUGCUCACAAACAUAUAGAGUUGCUAUUUGUGCUGGUGAAAAAUUGAAAACAUCCCUGAAACACAAUUGUCAAUCACCACUCGAUGAGCCAGUCUCUCUGGCAAGACAUGAUGCUCCAUAGGAUGCAAGUUGGUUUCAGUUUAUUAUACUAGGUAAAUAUAAUGUUAGCCAAUGAAUUAUAUGCUGAUAGUUUAUGAAUUCUAUGCUGUAUUUUCCAAUAGAGUGUUCCUUUCUUCUUGGUCAAUAUUACAAACCACACAGAUAAGAUUAAAACUCACUAGAGGAUCUAUAUAGCUCAACAAGAUUACUAUAGUUCUUAAUACAAAUUAGGUGACCUCCUGCAUGCCUUUUGAAGAUGAUGCAAAAUAAGUAAAUUUUCUUGAAAAGAAAGUGUCGCGUCAGACAUCAGUUUGUAGUCAAAUCAUUCUACUGGAAGCCUUUUGACAUCUUGUACAUGGUAGGUAUAUUUUUGUUUAGCAAAUAUUGGAUUGUCUUUAAUUAAUAAGUUGUCGCUAGAUAAUGAUGACAUAAUAGUUAAGAAGCUUACUCCAUCUUUCAUUUUCAUCAAGAUUUGUUUGGAUCAUUGCUUAACUGCUCUAGUACAAUACCAGCAACAAGCAAGCUUACUCCAUGUGUGUGUUGGCACAAAAGGCUCUAUAUGCUCCACGAAGGUACGAAGAAAUUGUAUAACUGCCACUUGGCGUGAAGCUAAUCCUCUUUGAAAUGAUUAUGAAUUCCUGGACAAGGCAGGAGCUUAUCAUCUGACCUACUUUCUAGAUCAUGCAUUUAGGCUCAUGUAAACAAUGAUACAUAUAAUAUUUCUUUUUAAAAAAGUGAAACUAAAUAAUGUUUAGGUACUAGUCUUUUUUCAUCACUUGUGUGAUGUUUUGGGAUAACUGUUUAUCUAUUCACCAAUUAGUCAUUGUUUCUUAAUUUUUUCCUUGUACCUAUUUUCAUGUCUUCAUGCAUGUAACUAGAACAAGCAACUGGCAUGCUUUUCAACUUGCUGCAUCUCAUUUACACCUUGGUGAAUCUAUUUUCGUUUAUCUUUGUUACUAUCACUUGAUAUAGGGCCAGCUCAAGAGCUUAUUGAAAAGCCAUUUUUUGAGACAUUUGCAAUGGGUUUAAGAUCUAGUGGUGUACCGUGUUACCAAGCAGGAGAACAUGUAGCUUCAUAUACAUCUGAUUCAAGCAACGUCGGCGGAACCGGUACCGGGCACCGUACCAGUUCUCCAAUGGGACAAGUCGAUACGGGCUUGCAUCGUGCCAGACCGGGUCCAUACCGACACAGUUGAACAAACGGGGGAGAGAGAACGAGAGAGGAAAAGAGAGAGAGAGAGAGAGCGGGGGAGGGAGGGAGGCCGAUGGAGGCCGGCGCUAGGCCCUUUCGCAAUUCACGCGGAGAACGAAACAGGAGUCAGCUGCUUUUUAAUUUGGCGGUUCUUAAAUGAAGUCGGCAAAUCACUUGCCGACUUUACUUAAGUAUCGCAAAUUUGUUUAAUUUCGCUAUUCUUAAAUGAAAUCGGCAAGCGAUUUGCCGACUUCACUUGAGAAUCGUAAAAUUAAAAAGCGGCCGAUCCCCGUUUCAAACGAUACAGGGGAACGGCUGGAUAAAUCGCGAAAGGGUGCGGUGCCGGCCUCCGCCACCCUCCGCCACUCUCUCUCUUUUCCUUCUCCACCUCUGGUAAUAGAUUUUGUUUUCGUUGCCGGAACCACCACCGAGACGGCGCGGAACAGCUAGAACCGUCCAGUUUGAGAUGGUUCUGCGGACGUUGGAUUCAAGAUAUGUUCUCUAUCUGUCUGAGACCUUCAAGGGCUCUAUCCAUUAUGCCCGGACAAGUGUUCUUACAUGUUCUAGGUCUUUACACUUAAAUUCUCCUUUUACAUUGUCUCAUUUAAUGAAUCUUUUUAUUUACUAUAUAGUCUUUCCCUGUAAUGCAUGGCACAUUGAUAAGUUUUUAGCAGUGCACUGUUUUCUCUUGUCAUCUGUAUAAUAUGGUACCAGGUUCUUCUUGAUAGGAAGCUCCUGAUUUGGCAGGGGAAACCUACUCAGAGCUGGGUGUAGGUAGAACUAUGUCUUGGUUUUGCUCCUUAUUUAAGACUUUGUGCGAUGCUUAAAAUUGAAAAUGAAUUUAAUGUAGUAUAAUGGUUGUAGGAGGGGGGUAACUAUAGCAGUAUCUUGCAUUUUCUUUGAUGAGCAAAAAACUGCAGAAUUUCAUGUCUUCAUGAUAUAUCACUUGCCAAGUUGGCAACUUUACGAAAUUUGGCACGAGUCAGUUUUCAGAUUUCCUUCAACUUCUAUGGAUGUUUUAAUUUGUUUUGAAUUUCUUACCUUCGUGACAAUUACAUUUACAGUCUCCUUGUGCAUAAUCAUAUUCUGAAUGGAAGAAGGUACUUCUAAUUAUUUUAUGUUGUGUUGGAAGUGCCUCCCAGGAGUUGUAAGCUCUAUUCAAUACUGUGUUCUGAAAUUUACAUACUCCAUUUGUGCCAAAUUCACCUUGAGGUAUUGCAUCUUCCCUUUCUUGGGAUUUAUCUGUCUACUUUUUUCAACAUCACCUAACAGUGACAAGUUAUUGAGACAGGAGUCAUGAGUCAUCUGCAAAUGUGUCUCAAUUGUUUAGCCUGCUUAGCAAUAGAAAAGAUGCCAUGUUUAUAAAUAGUCAGCUCCUAAUUCAGAAGGUACAUAUGAAUCUCUUUUACAAUUCAUAUUAUUCUGAAGAUCUCUCCAUCAAUAGACAUAUGGCCUACUUUUUUGUUUCAUAGUGCUUUGAACUAGUUCUGCCAGUAACAAAAAACAAGUAUUUAUUCUAUUAUAGCUAUUACCUUCUAAGGGAGAUGCAUGUACCUGUGGUAUGUUCAAGUUUUAGAAACCACUGCACAACAAUAGAUUCAUUGAAUGUCAUAUACUAAGGCACAUUUCAACAAAGGUACUUUAUUGAUCAAAUUUAAUAUGGAAUGAGUGUUUGGGUUUUUGUUAUGCUCAGUGGAUGGCUGACCUGUCAAUUUCUUGGAUCCAAUAAACCCAAUCGAGAAGCAGGAAGUGGCAUUCAGAGGCAAGAGGAAGAUUAGAUUCUAUAAUUCAGAGCAAAGAUUCUUAAGCAAAGAACGCAUUAUCAGAUCUUGCCCAUACCUUGGGUAUUGGUAUGACAAUACAGGACUUGACAGAAUGAUAGGAAAUAAUUCCCAGGUAAUAUGCCCACGCUUGUGUCUCCACGUUGGUACAUAUGCUGAGAUGCCAAGUAUCUGCUGUAAUAGUAUUCUUCUAGUGAUUUUAUAGCACGUUGAAAUAUUUGCUGGCUUGGAAAAGGAGAUAUACCAUAGUGGCCAAAUGUCACAAAUAUCCAGGUAUGGUGUUAGGGAAGAUUCCUUCCAGGUUGUACCAACUUGGGAUUGGAUGCUGCUUUUAUUAGGGUUAUAUGGGGGGAGGGAGUUUAGGGGUAUUCAGUUAGCAGUACCCCUUAGCAUCA